rnacentral:rRNA from 1 species
AGUGAACGCUGGCGGCGUGCUUAACACAUGCAAGUCGAACGAGAACGGGUUAUAGCUUGCUAUAAUUGUCAGCUAAGUGGCGCACGGGUGAGUAAUGUAUAGGUAAUAUGCCUCUUACUAAGGGAUAACAAAUGGAAACGUUUGCUAAUACCUUAUACUCCUUAUUAACAGAAGUUAAUAAGGGAAAGAUUUAUUGGUAAGAGAUUAGCCUGUAUUGUAUCAGUUAGUUGGUGGGGUAAUGGCUUACCAAGACUAUGACAAAUAACUGGUUUGAUAGGAUGUUCAGUCACAUUGGAACUGAGACACAGUCCAGACUCCUACGGGAGGCAGCAGUGGGGAAUAUUGCAGAAUGGACGAAAGUCUGAUGCAGCAACGCCGCGUGGAGGAUGACACAUUUCGGUGCGUAAACUCCUUUUAUAUGAGAAGAUAAUGACGGUAUUAUAUGAAUAAGCACCGGCUAACUCCGUGCCAGCCGCCGCAGUAACAC